UGAAUACGAGAUGCUACGGCGUCGAAGCAGUCUAUGUCAUACUUCCAAGAAAAGCUUGCACUGUCAUAAACAAAUAAUGCCUGUACCAUAACCGACACAGGUGGGUAGGUAGAGUAUACUAAGGGGCGCGAGAUAACUCUCUCUAAGGAACUCGGCAAAAUGACUCCGUAACUUCGGGAGAAGGAGUGCCUUAUUUAUAAGGUUGCAAUAACAAGAUCCAAGCAACUGUUUACCAAAAACACAGGUCUCCGCUAAGUCGUAAGACGAUGUAUGGGGGCUGACGCCUGCCCAGUGCCAGAAGGUUAAAGAAGUUGGUUAGCAUCCGCGAAGCUGAUAACUGAAGCCCUGGUGAACGGCGGCCGUAACAAUAACGGUCCUAAGGUAGCGAAAUUCCUUGUCGGGUAAGUUCCGACCCGCACGAAAGGCGUAAUGAUUUGGAUACUGUCUCGGAGAGGGGCUCGGUGAAAUAGACUUGUCUGUGAAGAUGCGGACUACCUGCACCAGGACAGAAAGACCCUAUGAAGCUUUACUGUAACCUGAAAUUGAAAUUGGACUUUACUUGCGCAGUAUAGGUGGGAGGCGUUGAGAAUAUUCUUGCGGGAUUAUUGGAGCCAUCAGUGAGAUACCACUCUUGUAAUGUUAGAUUUCUAACUUUGUAUCAUUAUCUGGUCAAAGAACAGUUUCAGGCGGGCAGUUUGACCGGGGCAGUCGCCUCCUAAACGGUAACGGAGGCGCACAAAGGUUUCCUCUGAACGGGUAGAAAUCGUAUCUAGAGUGUAAAGGCAUAAGGAAGCUUGACUGUGAGACCUACAAGUCGAGCAGGGACGAAAGUCGGUCUUAGUGAUCUGACGGUGCUGAGUGGAAAGGCCGUCACUCAACGGAUAAAAGUUACUCUAAGGAUAACAGGCUGAUCUCCCCCAAGAGUUCACAUCGACGGGGAGGUUUGGCACCUCGAUGUCGGCUCAUCGCAUCCUGGGGCGGUAGUACGUCCCAAGGGUUGGGCUGUUCGCCCAUGAAAGCGGUACGCGAGCUGGGUUCAGAACGUCGUGAGACAGUUCGGUCCAUAUCCGGUGUAGGCGUUAGAAUAUUGAGAGGAGCCUUCUUUAGUACGAGAGGACCGAGAAGGACAUACCUCUGGUGUACCAGUUAUCGUGCCAACGGUAAACGCUGGGUAGCUAUGUGUGGAGUGGAUAACCGCUGAAAGCAUCUAAGUGGGAAGCCCACCUCAAGAUAAGUAUUCUCAUAAG
rnacentral:rRNA from 1 species